AGCGAACGCUGGCGGCAGGCCUAACACAUGCAAGUCGAACGAACUCUUCGGAGUUCGUGGCGGACGGGUGAGUAACACGUGGGAACGUGCCUUUUGGUUCGGAAUAACUCAGGGAAACUUGUUCUAAUACCGAAUGUGCCCUUCGGGGGAAAGAUUUAUCGCCAUUAGAGCGGCCCGCGUCUGAUUAGCUAGUUGGUGAGGUAACGGCUCACCAAGGCGACGAUCAGUAGCUGGUCUGAGAGGAUGACCAGCCACACUGGGACUGAGACACGGCCCAGACUCCUACGGGAGGCAGCAGUGGGGAAUCUUGCGCAAUGGGGGAAAGCCUGACGCAGCCAUGCCGCGUGAAUGAUGAAGGUCUUAGGAUUGUAAAAUUCUUUCAUCGGGGACGAUAAUGACGGUACCCGGAGAAGAAGCCCCGGCUAACUUCGUG
rnacentral:rRNA from 1 species